CCUACGGGUGGCAGCAGUGAGGAAUAUUGGUCAAUGGGCGCGAGCCUGAACCAGCCAAGUAGCGUGAAGGAUGACUGCCCUACGGGUUGUAAACUUCUUUUAUAAAGGAAUAAAGUGAGGCACGUGUGCCUGUUUGUAUGUACGUUAUGAAUAAGGAUAGGCUAACUCCGUGCCAGCAGCCGCGGUAAUACGGAGGAUCCGAGCGUUAUCCGGAGUUAUUGGGUUUCAAGGGAGCGUAGAUGGGUUGUUAAGUCCGUUGUGAAAGUUUGCGGCUCCACCGUAAACUUGCCAUUGAUACUGGCAGCCUUGAGUACAGUUGAGGUAGGCGGAAUUCGUGGUGUCGCGG
rnacentral:rRNA from 1 species